rnacentral:piRNA from 1 species
UUCUCAGGCUCAGCAACGUUCCCACUGUUU